GUCCGGUUCAAAAAAAAUAACGAUCAUGUAAAUUGUAUUGUCAGUUCUUUCGUUCCCCAUCCCUUUGUUUGCGGCUCACGCGCAUUUACCCACCCCCACUCGUGCCGUCGGUUCGGGCGCCGCGCGCCCUCCGGCGGAGGAAUCCAAUGCAGGUGCGCGAUGCUAGGCGGCUGCGGCUGCGGUGCGCCCCACCUUAUUCCGGCGGUCCGGAGACGAAGGGGCGAGCUGGUACGUCAGGCCGUCGGCAUCUUGCAUCUCGCACCGUAUAGAGAUUCAUACUUCAUCAUGGGCAAGCAGUGCAACAAGGAGACUUUUGAAAAACUACGGUAUAAGGACAAUAACACACUUUCUUCAUGGGCAAACCAACAAGAAGAUAGUGGCAAGUGUGUUGAGUGAGCAUCGAAUAUGGCUGUCUCCUUCCUUGUCGGCAAGGCCAUCAACUACCUUGAUCAGUAGGGGAGUGCUGGAGGCACGAAGGACCUCAGGACCAGGCUCCUGCCUGCCGAGCCCUUGAUCCAGGAGGUGUUCGUGCCCAUCAACCUGGUCACCUGGAGAACAUACGAGGUACACAAGGCGCACUCCGGAGUCCACGAAGCUGUGGAGGCUCAGGGAUGCCAUUGGCGAAGUCGGGGAUGCGGUCUGCGAGCUUGAGCACUCCAAGCUCGAGGAGAAGGUCAAGGAUCGCAAGGUUAGUGAAUGGGGCUCCUCCUUUGCUAAGAUGAAGCAUCAAGUUGUCAGAUCAGUUAGGUAUGUUAGCGUUUUGGAGGAGGCUGUGAAAAGAUUUUACUCACAAUGGCACACUCAACAGGCUGAAGAAAGCUCUGGAGGGUUUAGACAGGGCUGCUAUGGAUUUCACGGAGAAGCUGAAAUUUGUUCAUUAGCAUGCCAUUAGUCAUGAGAUGUGCGCCUAUUGCAGAGGUUUCUCGCGAAGAAAAUGAACUCUCCGAAAUUUUUUAUUGUGGUGACUGAUGUCUAAGAGGACAAGAACAUCAACCAAUGGGAGGAAUUGUUUGCCUCUCUGAGGACAGGGAAGAGUGGAAGCAGGAUCUUACUGAGUAUUGACAAGUGACAACUCGUUUGCAAUCAGUG